CACAAUGCUGCUCCCACCUACUUAUCCUCACUAAUACACAAAUAUGUCUUGUCUUGGCCCCUAACCUCUGUUCGUACUCCUACCUCAGAUGCUCACCUUAAAGACUUCUCUAGGGCUGCACCGUUCCUAAGGAAUGCCCUUCCCCUCUCUGCUAGACUCUCACCCAAUCUCUGCUCCUUCAAAAAAUCUCUGAACACUUACCUUUUUUUCACUCCAUA